rnacentral:rRNA from 1 species
GGGCAGAUGGGSGAGAGGUGAGUAGGUGGGAUGUACCAUGGUASGGAUAACCAGGGAAUUGGAUAAUACGUAUGUGCCUUCGGGGGAAGAUUAUCGCAUUGGAUCAACCGCGUCGGAUUAGCUAGUUGGUGAGGUAAAGGCUCACCAAGGCGACGAUCCGUAGCUGGUCUGAGAGGAUGAUCAGCCACACUGGGACUGAGAMACGGCCCAGACUCCUACGGGAGGGCAGCAGUUGGGVAUAUUKGGVCAAUGGGCGCAAGCUKUAUCCA